rnacentral:rRNA from 1 species
UCCCAGACUCCACGGAGGCAGCAGUGGGGAAUAUUGCACAAUGGGGGGAACCCUGAUGCAGCGACGCCGCGUGGGUGAAGGAGCACCUCGGUGCGUAAAGCCCUAUCGGCAGGGAAGAAAAGCGAACAGGUUCGCCUGGACGGUACCUGACUAAGAAGCCCCGGCUAACUACGUGCCAGCAGCCGCGGUAAUACGGAGGAUGCGAGCGUUAUCCGGAUUUAUUGGGUUUAAAGGGUGCGUAGGCGGAAUGCCAAGUCAGCGGUAAAAUCGCGGGGCUCAACCUCGCUCCGCCGUUGAAACUGGCGUUCUUGAGUGGGCGAGAAGUAUGCGGAAUGCGUGGUGUAGCGGUGAAAUGCAUAGAUAUCACGCAGAACUCCGAUUGCGAAGGCAGCAUACCGGCGCCCAACUGACGCUGAAGCACGAAAGCGUGGGUAUCGAACAGGAUUAGAUACCCCAGUAUA